ACGUUGGAGGCAGACGCCGGUCUUCGCAGCUGGAGAACAGAACGACCGAUAGAAAACGUCACAAGAUGAGAUGAUACAAAAAUGUUCCCCGGGAAACAAAAUGAGAGCUUUGUUUUGUUUUUCUGUUCUUUUACUCCAAGUGUUCAAAUGCCAAGCUAAAACAGUAUCGGGAACAUUGUCAUCGAAAGUAUCUCGUAGUGAUUGGGGGCAGUAUGUGACAACAUUUUGUUUUCAUGGAAAUGCCUUGAUCAAUUAUACCUUGGAUGGAGAGACGGGUGGAGCCCCUCAGCUGCUUCUAUUCACAAAGGCAGACUUGGAGGAUCUAGAGGAGGAGGAUUGUCAGGACAAACUCAGCAGAGCCUCCUUCACUUAUGAGCUGAAGAAUACAACAGGAAAUGUGAGUGUGAAUGCUCAGCCGACUCCUCACCUGUACCAUGUCUUGUAUGUGGACCAGUCCACCUGUCUGGGUCCGGACUCCCAGGGGGAGGGGGAGGGGAGUACAGAGACCCAGGAAAUCCAGUACACAAUCCAACUCCUAAAUCCAGACAGUCUGGGAAAUCCGACGGAACACUUCGGAGACGACGAGACAGGUCUCCUUCGGUUCUACCAGCUGUUGACCCUGGCCUACUUCGUACUGGGCUGUAUAUUUGCGCCCCGCCUCCACGAGACCCUCAGUAAGGGCGGCCCCAUGCAGCUGGUGAUCGUGUUGCUGACCAUUUCUACCUGUCUACAGGCCACAGGUACCUUCAUCAUGAUGAUUCACCUGGCCAGUUUGCCAUGCUAUACAUGCUGCUCAGUCUAAGUCUGGGUUGGACGCUGGGUACGUCGUAUCGCUUCGCUCAUCUACAGAUGGUCAGUCGCAAACCCGCCGCUAAAGUGGUUGGCACUCUGGGGAUCCUGCAGGCGGUGCUGUUUGUGUGGGAACAGAUUCAGGACAGUGACCACCGCAUGUACCACGCUCACCGCAGCUUCGCGGGCGUGGCUCUGGUGGUGCUCAGGAUCCUUCUGGCGGCUCUGUUCGCCUGGAACCUGAACGUCAUCGUGUCAUCAGAACGCAGUGCUCUACGGCGGGAGUUCUAUAAAUCAUUUACCAAGAGCUGCAUGCUGUGGUUUCUGUGCUAUCCUUUGCUUGUUGUGAUGUCCUGGAUAUUCUAUGAAUAUCUACGUUAUAAGUUGAUUACAAUGGGUGUGGUGCUGUGUCAAUGCUGCGCGGUGGCCAUGUUGUACAAACUCUUCUUCUCCCGCAGCCUUUACUGGGAAGUGUCGGCUCUCUCCAGCACUCUACCCCUCAGAAUGGACCGAACCUUAGGACAUAAACUGUACUCUUGACCUUUAAGGUCACACAUUUGCCAAACUUUAGGACAUACUCUGUAUUCUUGGUUUCAAAUUUUUUAUCAUUAUCUACUGGUAAAUGAGAAUUUUACGUCUCUAUUUUUGUAAUACUGUAUGUUUGUAUUUAUUUUGUUUUAGACUGGUACCCAUGGUUUGGUGCAAGGCUCUGGGUGACAGUAUAUUUUUUUUUGCAGGCACAAUAGACUUUCUAUUUUUUCUACUGGUUUAUGCUUGGUGCUUUGUUAAUUGUCAAAGUAAUCUUCAAUAUUUUGUCAAAACAGAGAGUGGAAGUAUUUGUUUGAUUCUCCCCAAGAUGUGGAGAUAUUGCCACAAAAAAUGUGUGCUUGCAUUUUUUUUAUUCAACACACCCUGUCACCAAAAAACUUGAUUUUUUUUUUUUUUGCAAGAUUCUAUUUUUACAUGUAUAUCUCAUGUUCUUUAGAUUGUUCAAUUUAUCAUUGAAAACUAGUCAUUCAUCAGAGCAUUAAAAAUAAAUAUUCUUACAAAAAGAAUUUAAAGCUCAUUUUCAAAGCCAAACAUUUGCCUAUUUCAACACAUGUCCAUACCAACUUAACAUUUUUCACUUUUGAACAAAACAUUUUACAAAAGUCAUAAGUUGUUAUGUGUUUCAAAGUAUUCAUGUUUUGUUGUAUAUAUAUUAUCAUAUCAUUGGAGAAUGGGGUAUGAAUGUUGCAUAUAGAUUCAUUCUAUGGGUAGCAGUAAUUUUUAUUGAAAGAAAUGACUUCCUGCUGAAAAAAAGUCAGCUACCAAGCCCCCAGAUGACCAUGCCUUUAAACUGUAUUUAAUGAAUCUGGUUGUUUUUUCAAACUAAGUAAAAAUUGCCUAAUUAAACUGAGUUCUUUAUACUGCAGCCACAGUUUUAUAACUAUAGUAUAUGUGGUGUAGUGUGGUAUAACCAUUGGUGUACGAUGUGAUGACAGAGGGCGACAGGAGUUGUAUGUCUGGUACAUAAAUAUACUUUGUUUUUCUGUGAUGGUAUGAUUGAAUCAGAGCUUGUGUGUCUGUAAUUGUACAGGCAUUGGAGACCUGGGUUGUAUGAUUAACACAUUGUUGAAGUUUCCUUCAUGAGAUAUUGUAUGAAAUCAUGUCUUAAAUUGUUACUGUAUGGUUGUACAAUUAAAGAAAUCAUUCGAUAA
rnacentral:misc_RNA from 1 species